GUGGGGAAUCUUAGACAAUGGGCGCAAGCCUGAUCUAGCCAUGCCGCGUGAGCGAUGAAGGCCUUAGGGUUGUAAAGCUCUUUCAGGGGGGAAGAUAAUGACGGUACCCCCAGAAGAAGCCCCGGCUAACUCCGUGCCAGCAGCCGCGGUAAUACGGAGGGGGCUAGCGUUGUUCGGAAUUACUGGGCGUAAAGCGCACGUAGGCGGAUCAGAAAGUCAGAGGUGAAAUCCCAGGGCUCAACCUUGGAACUGCCUUUGAAACUCCUGGUCUUGAGGUCGAGAGAGGUGAGUGGAAUUCCGAGUGUAGAGGUGAAAUUCGUAGAUAUUCGGAGGAACACCAGUGGCGAAGGCGGCUCACUGGCUCGAUACUGACGCUGAGGUGCGAAAGCGUGGGGAGCAAACAGGAUUAGAAACCCGAGUAGUCC
rnacentral:rRNA from 1 species